GAUGAACUUGGGUUCUGCAACUGGUCACUCCAGUUUCGUGAUGUCUUGCUCUUUCGCUAACCAAGUGAUUUCUCAGCUAGAGUUGUGGAAUGAGAAGAGCUCCGGAAAGUAUGAUUAGAAGGUCCAUGUCUUACCCAAUCACCUCGAUGAGAAGGUUGCUGCACUCCAUCUUGAAAAGCUCGGUGCAAAGCCUACAAAGCUCUCCAAGGACCAAGCUGACUACAUCAGUGUUCAAGUUGAGGGUCUUCAAGAGUUAAAUAAUGUGAAAAACCUCUCUAUCAUUCUGCCUGUAUGCUUUCAUUUUGAAUAUGGACUCAUUGAUGUGGUGGAAGCAAAAUCUGCAAUGCCAGCUAACAUCUGUCAAGAUGUCAUCAAUCUGGCGAUGAUGUGCAGAUCUUAUCUUUCCCAUCUAAUAUGUAUGUACCAGUGUUAUGAUUGUGAGUACAUAUGUAUCUAUAUAAAAAGGAGAAGAGCUGGUAGGACGAAUGAAGGAAAAGGUAAAGAUAGAAAUACCCUUAACCACACAGAUGGCGCUAGACCCAUUUGAUGGAAACACGCUGAAUGUAAGUAAACUAAAAGUCUAGUAUAUCACAUGAUAUUUUAUAAAUUGGAGUAUCUCAAGUAGUCUGACACACAAAGUGCACUUUACUCUUAUAUAUAUAUAUUCAUAGAUAUUUGCGGUUUUCUUAUUGAACUUUGAUUCUAUUCCAUGGAACCUUAAAAUUUUAGGUAGGUUGAUCAAUCACCAUUGUAUCAUAAACCAAUAUAAUGUUCUUUUAAUAUUGAUACUUAGAGAAGGCUGUGGAAAUCAUUUUAGAUUACAUGUUUUUCACAUUAGUUGAAAUUCAGUACAUGCUGGCACAAAACUACAUCUUCACACAUCUUUCACAUUUAGGAAGUUUUUAUAUACCGGUUCUUGUUAUUCAACUUUCGUUAAAGGUAACAAAUAGGUCACUUGUGAGGAACAUUAUUAUAAAAUUAUUAAGCUUUAAGGAACAGUAUUGCAAAAGCUGAAACUCUAGGUGAACAAAUAAUGUUGUAGAACUUAAUUUUGGAGGGACACUUCUCUUAUCUACCUUACUAGAUUACUUAAGGGUUAAAUAUCAAAGUGGUCACUCAAGUGGAGGUCAUAUAUCACUUUGCUUACUAAUCUUAACGGGGUCUCAUUUANAUAUCUAAUCCGGUGUUGUUCGCUAUCAAUGGAUUGGGAUGUUUUAGUGCGGCAUAUAUUAGAUGCCAAAACGACGAACCAACUCAGGUUUUAAACCAAUCAAUCUUUCUUAUUUCGCCUCAUCGUUUUUAAUUAUGUUUUUAUCUUUAUGUAUGUGUUGUAGUGUUGUUAAUUGUUUUAAUACAUUUUCGUCAUUUACAUUCUAAUUGGAGUGCUGUGUGUUCAAAAUUUUAUACACUCCAUCAAGCUGUGACCAAGCUUCUAAUCGAGUGCCGUAGGAUAGUAUCAAUCACAAUAAAUUUAUUUUAUAACCUUAACAUCGAUUUCUCCCUUAAGUAUUUAUGAUCCAAAUCAUGAAUGAUCCUCCGUAUGUUACAGAUUUUGUGGAUCAUUGAUAACCGGAAGUUUUAGAUAAUGAAUUAGAGACUCAGAGUUAAGUAAAACAUGAAAUUUAUACCUGAAAAGUCCAUGGGAUCAGGAAAUUUUUUGAAUGUGAAAAGAAUUAUUUUGGAAUUUGAGUUUGUUUAUAAAUUAUUACAUCUCAUUAUAUAGGAAGUAUGAAGGUAAGCGUAAGUCUACUAUCCAAACUCUUAACAUACUUCAAAAUUUUAUUUAUAUGUUUUCAGCUCUGUUUUUUUAUUUAAUAUUUUUCUUUUUUGCAUUUUUGAUAUAAUAUUUUGAUGAAAUGCUAAUUUGUUUUUUUUUUUCUUCUGAAAUUGCUUGAUUUUGAACUUCGUCAGAAAUUGUGAAUAUUAGAACCCCAGUUUAAGUCUAUGACCCGAACACAUUAGUAUAUGCGUAUAGUUUUGAAAUUAAACUCUGAUACCUUGCAACUUGCAAGGGUGCAAUGAUGCGCACUUUCUGACAUUAUAGUAUGUUAACUUCUGGAGUCUGGACCGCGUCAGUGGUUUAUUGUGACUUCUGGAAUUCUGGACCAUGUCAACAGUUUAUAGUGACCAGCUUAGAUCAAAUAGGUGACUAAAAGUCAUCAUUUUAAACGUUAUAAAUUGCUGAAAUUUAGUGUUUGGUAUUUUGCAUUGCAUUUAUUGGUUGAACACAGGGGUGGCAAUCUCAGACACGACCCGAAACCCGACUCGAACCUGACCCAACCCGAAACCCGAUUUACUGAGACAGAAACCCGAAAGUGACCCGAAAAUCACCCGAUUGACCCGAAAUAGACCCGAAAUGACCCGAAAUUAGAAUUUUAUUUCUAAUAACUUCAAUUUUCAGUUUUAUUCAAUUUUAAGUGAUUUUAACUUAACCCGAAAUCGACCCGAUUGCUGACACGAACACGAUCAUUUGAAAGAUCAUCUUUGAUUCAGAUUGUAACACAAAUUUCUAUUACCAAAAUCACAAUCUGAUAGUGAUUUUGGUAAUAGAAAUUUGUGUUACAAUCUGAAUCAAAGAUGAUCCUUCAAAUGGAUAUCUUAUUUUAAUAUGUGUUCUACUUAUGAAUGAUACAUUAUUCAAACUAGGAAGAAUCCUUCAAACAGAUUUUGUUUAAACUAUUCUUCCGGAUCAUGAAUGAUCCUCAGAUUAAAUUCUUGUUAACUAUUCAUAUAAAUCCUGAAUAAUAAGCUGCAUCUUGUAUAUGUAUAUAUUGAUAGUGACAGAGGGCUCACUUCUAAAUAUCUUAUCUAUAUAUGCUCCGAUGCUCUAUAGAAGUAGGAAAAGAGAGUACUCUGCACUAGUGUUUAAGAGAUUCCAGAGAAUGAAGAGAGAAACUCCGAAAAGAAAGGCUAUCACUUGUACCACCGACAUACUGAUUCGGUCAGAGAGUCCUCCCAUCCCCGCUUGUCUGGCUGCCGAUGAGCUCACUCGACUUCUAACUAGGUCUGUCAUUUUUACACAUCCAACCCUAUUUUAUAAUAAGUAUUGUAUUUUGGGAAAAUUAAUUCAUUUGUUCCUGAACUGUAGGUCGUUAAUGGUUUAGGUCCCUAAACUAAAAACCCAAUUUUUUUUUUUGCCACAACUAAAAACCCAAUUUUUGAUACCUAAAUGUUUAAAAAAUCUGAUUCAAGUCCUUCCGUCAAAAUUUGACUAACGCUUGUUAGUCAUUGCUGACAUGGAAAUUGGAAAAAUAAAAGAAAAAAAAAUUAAAAUACGAGAAAUCAAAACUUCAAGGACUGAAGUGAAAUCUUGAUAUGUUAAUGUACUAGUGAUUUUAAAAAUACGGGUGGUGAAAGUUUUAGAUUUCGAGUUUACUAACAUAUAGAAAUAUCACUUUAAUCUCAAGAUCACGAAGAUAAAAACUUAUUAAAAUGCAGUUUUUUGUAUGCUGGUGAACUCUAAUCAGGAAUUUUCACUAUCCUUGUUCUUGAAAUGACUCAUAAAUGAACAUAUCAAAAUUUUAUUUCAUUCCAUGAAGUUGUGAUUUUUGUGUUUUCAAUUAUUAUUUUCUUUUGUUUUUUCAAUUUCUAUGUCAGUAUUAAGUAACGGCCGUUAGUCAAAUUUUGGCGGAGGGACUUGAAUCAGUUUUUUGGAAAGUUUAGAUAUCGAAGUUGGGUUUUUUUAGUUUAGGGACCUAAACCAUAAACGGCCUAUAGGAAUGAAUUAAUUUUCCUGUGUAUUUUCAGCUGAUAUAAGAUUACAUGUGUAUAUUUAUUGUGUGUGUGUAUAUAUAUGUGUGUACUUUAUGUAAUGGUCGUCUGAUGGAAUAAGCGAGGUGUACUUUGGAAGAAAAAUCACAGAAGUUCAGAGCUUGACAAAGAGGUUUGACAUCUCUCUCCACUGUCCUCCAAUGUGUAUUCUCUUUUAAAUUGGAGUCAUUUUGACAAAUAAAUGGUUUUCUUUAAAACAAAAAAAUACUAACAAUAUUUAUGCAUGUAAAUUGUAAAUGUAAUAGAGUCUAGUCAAUUUUGUAAAUGAAUACAAAUUCAGAAAGUAGUUUUAGGUUUUUGAGUUAUAUAAAUAUUCUAUUAUUAUUUAUUGUUUGGGAAAAUUAAUUUAUUAGUCCAUGACCUAUAUGUCGUUUAUGGUUUAGGACUCUGAACUAAAUAAGACCAAAUUUUUUUAUACCUAAACUUUUAGAAAAUCCGAUUCAGGUCCCUUUAUUAAAAUUUGACUAACUGCAGUUGUUCAAUGCUGACGUGGAAAUUGAAAAAAUAAAAGAAAAAAAUAAUUAAAAAUACCAAAAAUCAAAACUUCAGAGAUUGAAAUGAAAUUUUGAUAUGUUAUUCUACAAGUGAUUUCAAAACAAUGGUUGGUGAAAGUUUUUGAUUUCGAGUUCACUAACAUAUAGAAAUAUGCACUUUAAUCUCGAGAACACGUAGUUAUCAAGGCUUAUUAAUCUCAAUGAGGGGAGGAAGAGAAAUAAAGUCACUCAUUCUUCUAGCCCCUAUUUCUAUCACUCCAUUUUCAUGUCAUAUUGUCCACAGAUCCGGACCUUAUUCAAGAAUUCUGCAUACCAGACACCACAUCAAAUGUCACCCAAACAACAAGGUCUGGUAUGAUCCCAUGCGAAAAUCUGGUAGAUGUUAUCCCCGAAGAUUUUAUCUUCUCAGGUAUAGAACAUCCUGGAAAUUUAUCAGGCACUGGACUAUCAGCAAUAUCCGUGAGUCCACAAACUUUUCCAGGCCUCAACACCCAAGGCAUGUCUUUGUUGCGUGCUGAUCACCAUAAAGCCCCAAACUGAUAGGUGGGUAUUCCCCGAUACUGGUGAAGGCAUCAUUAUCCUGGCUGAAGGACGUUUGAUGAACUUGGGUUCUGCAACUGGUCACUCCAGUUUCGUGAUGUCUUGCUCUUUCGCUAACCAAGUGAUUUCUCAGCUAGAGUUGUGGAAUGAGAAGAGCUCCGGAAAGUAUGAUUAGAAGGUCCAUGUCUUACCCAAUCACCUCGAUGAGAAGGUUGCUGCACUCCAUCUUGAAAAGCUCGGUGCAAAGCCUACAAAGCUCUCCAAGGACCAAGCUGACUACAUCAGUGUUCAAGUUGAGGGUCUUCAAGAGUUAAAUAAUGUGAAAAACCUCUCUAUCAUUCUGCCUGUAUGCUUUCAUUUUGAAUAUGGACUCAUUGAUGUGGUGGAAGCAAAAUCUGCAAUGCCAGC
rnacentral:lncRNA from 1 species